GAAUCAGAGGCGGAUUGAGGUAUUUCUAUUCAGAUGAUGAUGAU
rnacentral:sRNA from 14 species